CACAAAUAUACAAGGGCAUAAAUAAGCUCCUAAAGAAGAAGCGUCAACUAAACUCUAAGAUUUGUGUAUUUUGUAUUUCUCAGCCUCAUAUAUCCCUUAUGUAUUUCCGCAUUCCUAAUCUAUUCCGAUAUAGACCCCAUUUUCAUAACUUUGCAAAAUCAGAAUAAUGUGGAAGUGAAGAAGAGUGUACCUAAGUGCUUGUGUUAUCUUUCAUCUGUUGUUGGAGAACACUUUUUUCAUUAUCUUCUUGUUUGAGAGGGGUCUUUUUUGGUGCUUCCUCUUGAUGGUCUUGUUGCAGCUUGUCCAAAGCCUUUAUGAUGAUGUAUUGAUUUUCGUUGUUUCUGUUUGACGGGUUGAUUUGUUGUUCUUCAUUUGCCUUGUAAAUUUGAUGUAAAUUUCUGGGUUUCUGUUGGUUGAGAGAUGGGUUUAGGUCAUUUUAGGUUUGUGUUUUUUGUUAGUUUUUUCAAAUAAAUGAAUUAGGGGUGUGAAUUUGUUGCCGUUUAUGCUUAUUAGAAUAUCAAAUUCUUAAUUAUACCCUUUUUCUUUGGUAACUGUGAAUCUGUUGGAGGUGGAGGGGAAGAGGUUCGUGAUCUUAUUUAUGAUUAUGGUGUAGGCAGUGACAAUUGCAGGGGGUGGAAAGAGGAGAUGGAAAUAGAUGUUAACAGAGUUUUGGGCUAAGGAAGGUUUUUGUUCUUUUUUAGCAUAUAUUUAUGAGAUUUUAUUUCUGAAAGUUGUUAGUCAGAUAAUUUUGAUUGCUUAAUCACCAGUUUUGAUUUUGAUGAACUGUUGGCCUAUCUUAAAAACCUCUUUCUCUCUCUCAAUUAAUGAUUUCCAUGACAGAGCUAUGAUAUCAUUUUUCUUUGGGUUUCUUCAUGUUUGUUUGGCUUGUUUCUGGUAUCUGAAUCCAAUCGAAAGUUCAUAGAGUUAUGCUGCUCUUAUUGUAAUCUAAUUGAUGGUACUGACUUGAUUGCCUAUUACCAUUAUUAGAGGUAUAUAAUAUGAGCCUAGUUUGGGAUUCAUUUCUUAACUUUAAUUUGGAACUUUGGCUUCUCGAUGAAUAUGGUGAUUUGAUUUGACAGUUGAAUUUAGUUGCCUGAUUUUUUUCCAGUUAUCCUAAAGAUUCUUUUGGUUUGCUGCUUUCUUAUUGAUGCUUGAGAUUGUCUUUUUCAACUGCACACAUUCACGCUGAUGGUGGCAUGCUCCUCCAUUCUGACAAUCUUCCAUCAAAAGAAAAGAGGAACAGGAGAAUUUCUAGUAACAAAAAAUGAAUUAUUAAAUGCUUCUAGUAAUAGGUUUGGUGUGGCUAAUUAGUUAUUCGAUUGUACUUGAAACUUCUCCUAGCAAACUGAACUUGUGAAAAAUUUUGUUUUUUCCUUUUAGAUAGAUCUAUAUAAUACCAUGGUUUAGAAGGAGAGUACAGAUGGUGAAGCAGAUGCUCUGAAGGCCUAUAAGGCUGCUCGAGAAAAAAGUGAUCAUGCUGCUGAAAUGGCUGUUGGGGAUAAGGUCUCAUCAGCGCUCGUAGACCGGGUUGGUGCAAUGCUUCAGAAACUGGAAAAAGAAAUUGAUGACGUGGAUGCCAAAAUUGGUGAUCGUUGGCAGCUUCUUGACAGUGUGGAUUAAAGUCACUGCACCAAAUUUGCACUCUCAAAUGUUGCCAUCUUCAUCUCAUCUUGUAACCUGUAUCGGGAUUUGAUGCUGCUAAGCAAAGUGACAUCAAAUUACGGGCACAACAAACAUCAAAUGCUCUUGUUGUUAUUGAUUUACAACCAGCCAAUGAAUCCCAUCCAGUUGUGCCACUUACCCUUGUCAAAGUGCCAAGGACGAGCAUGAAGAAAAUCUAGAAGAAAGGCAGGCAGCUGCUUAAUGUUUUUUUUUUUGCUGUAGAAUCAUUAUUAGGCUGACACUUUGUUGUUUCUUUUUGAUG